AGUGAACGCUGGCGGUAGGCCUAACACAUGCAAGUCGAACGGCAGCACAGUAAGAGCUUGCUCUUACGGGUGGCGAGUGGCGGACGGGUGAGGAAUACAUCGGAAUCUACUUUUUCGUGGGGGAUAACGUAGGGAAACUUACGCUAAUACCGCAUACGACCUACGGGUGAAAGCAGGGGAUCUUCGGACCUUGCGCAAUUGAAUGAGCCGAUGGCGGAUUAGCUAGUUGGCGGGGUAAAGGCCCACCAAGGCGACGAUCCGUAGCUGGUCUGAGAGGAUGAGCAGCCACACUGGAACUGAGACACGGUCCAGACUCCUACGGGGGGCAGCAGUGGGGAAUAUUGGACAAGGGGCGCAAGCCUGAUCCAGCCAUACCGCGUGGGUGAAGAAGGCCUUCGGGUUGGAAAGCCCUUUUGUUGGGAAAGAAAAGCAGCAGGUUAAUACCCCGCUGUUCUGACGGUACCCAAAGAAUAAGCACCGGCUAACUUCG
rnacentral:rRNA from 1 species